AUGGACGUCGACGGCGAGACCAUGGGCAAGAAGAAGAUCCCGGUCACGGAUGCUGCCCGGCUGGUCAGCGCUUGGGCGCUCUUCACCGCUUGCGUCUUCCUCGCCUCCUUCGCCCUCGCCUGCUACCACGUCCCGUGCGACCUGUGCGUCCAGCCGACGGACAUUACCGGGAUGGUGUACUGCGCUGCGACUCAGGCGGCCGUGGCGGCGCUGGCGCUGCUGCUCCCAGGCCGCCACCUCUGCGUCCGCAGUGCCCUCGCGGACCUCGCGCUCGUGCUCACCAUCGUCGUCCACCUCAUCCUCACGUUGGCUGUCGACCCCGACAACAUCCUCGUGAUCUACUGGGCCAUCUUCUUCAUGGCGGGCGACUUGGUCAGCUCCCUGGCCCUCCUUUUGGGAGGUGAGGAGGAUUGA
rnacentral:rRNA from 1 species